AUGCCAUGACUAUUAGUCGACGUGUGGUCAGCCAAGAAUCAGCCAACUGCAGACGCAGUAAUGUCUAUUUUUGACCUCCUGCAACCCAUUUCCAUGCAGCCCUCUCCUUUCCCCAGGCCUGCAACCACCAAAUGAGAACUCAGCAAGGUGUAGCCUUCUGCACACGACACAGAAACUUGCUGAUUCACACUGAAAUCAUCCCCAUGAACAAGUACACGUGUGAUGGUUGCUGGCAGAGGACAUUUUUUGGGACUACAGGAGAUUGUCUCAGGGGACCAACGGCCAUCUUUCUGACAGGUGUGUGCCUCUCCAAUUGCCACUGCAUUGGCAACAGACGGCGGGGGUCCACAGGACAGGGGCUGACAAACUGGAUAAGGCGGGCUCCACACCCCUUUCUCGGUGCAAAUCAGAUCUGAACUGCCCUGGAUGACAUACCCAGAGAACCACAAGACCUGUGUUCACAGCGGGGGAAGUCAGAGCUCCAC